rnacentral:lncRNA from 1 species
AAAUACAAAUAAAUAUGAUGCAAAGUGUAUGACAGCAUGCAACCUUAAUCAAACUUUUAACCUGACAAAGUGUCUCAUAACUUGUAAAAAUUAUAAUUUGUGUGAACUUGGUUGUUUAUUCUACAGUCAUAUUAAAGAAAAUGACACUGGUUGUUGACCAACGGUUUAUAAUCAAAAUUUAAUAUGGCUGGCGGUAAAGGUAAAGAGAAG